rnacentral:rRNA from 1 species
AUUGGACGCUGGCGGCAUGCUUUACACAUGCAAGUCGAACGGCAACAGGCCGCAAGGUGCUGACGAGUGGCGAACGGGUGAGUAAUGCAUCGGAACGUGCCCAGUCGUGGGGGAUAACUACUCGAAAGAGUAGCUAAUACCGCAUACGAUCUAUGGAUGAAAGCGGGGGACCGUAAGGCCUCGCGCGAUUGGAGCGGCCGAUGUCAGAUUAGGUAGUUGGUGGGGUAAAGGCUCACCAAGCCAACGAUCUGUAGCUGGUCUGAGAGGACGACCAGCCACACUGGGACUGAGACACGGCCCAGACUCCUACGGGAGGCAGCAGUGGGGAAUUUUGGACAAUGGGCGCAAGCCUGAUCCAGCAAUGCCGCGUGCAGGAAGAAGGCCUUCGGGUUGUAAACUGCUUUUGUACGGAACGAAACGGCUCUGGUUAAUACCCGGGGCUAAUGACGGUACCGUAAGAAUAAGCACCGGCUAACUACGUG